rnacentral:rRNA from 1 species
GACGAACGCUGGCGGCGUGCUUAACACAUGCAAGUCACGGGGGCCCGCAAGGGUAACCGGCGAACGGGUGCGUAACACGUGAGCAAUCUGCCAUACACUGGGGGAUAGCCGGCCCAACGGCCGGGUAAUACCGCAUACGUUCCUCGCCUGGCAUCAGGUGGGGAGGAAACCUCCGGGGGUGUACGAGGAGCUCGCGGCCUAUCAGCUAGUUGGUGGGGUAACGGCCUACCAAGGCGAUGACGGGUAGCUGGUCUGAGAGGAUGGCCAGCCACAUUGGGACUGAGAUACGGCCCAGACUCCUACGGGAGGCAGCAGUGGGGAAUAUUGCGCAAUGGCCGCAAGGCUGACGCAGCGACGCCGCGUGGGGGGAUGAAGCAUUUCGGUGUGUAAACCCCUGUUGCUCGGGACGAACAACCCUUUUCGAGGGGUCUGACGGUACCGGGUGAGGAAGCACCGGCUAACUCCGUGCCAGCAGCCGCGGUAAU